UGGGGGAUAUUGCACAAUGGGCGAAAGCCUGAUGCAGCGACGCCGCGUGGGGGAUGAAGGCCUUCGGGUUGUAAACUUCUUUUGCUCUGAACAAGGCAUGCUAAUGGGUGUGUUGAGUGUAGGGGUUGAUUAGCGCCGGCUAACUACGUGCCAGCAGCCGCGGUAAUACGUAGGGCGCGAGCGUUGUCCGGAAUUAUUGGGCGGAAAGGGCUUGUAGGUGGCUGGUUGCGUCUGUCGUGAAAGCUCAUGGCUUAACUGGGGGUUUGCGUUGGGUACGGGCUGGCUUGAGUGCAGUAGGGGAGGCUGGAAUUCCUGGUGUAGCGGUGGAAUGCGCAGAUAUCAGGAAGAAUACCGGUGGCGAAGGCGGGUCUCUGGGCUGUUACUGACACUGAGGAGCGAAAGCAUGGGGAGCGAACAGG
rnacentral:rRNA from 1 species